ensembl:lncRNA
AAAUAAGUGAAAUUAUUUUUUCGCUAGCUAAUUAAAUGACAAAUUUGUUACCUGUCUCAUCUAAGUAGGGAGCUACAGCCAGGAUGCAUUUAGCUUAGCUUAGCAUGAAGACAGAAUCCAUGGGUAAACAGCUUGACUGCUCUCACUGUAGUUUAAAAAUACCCCAAACAGGCGACUCAAUUUAAUUUUAUGUUUAAUAGCUGGGACAUUUUGUAGAAGUGAAGUAGUUAAAGCACAUGGCUAUUUGGGUACAAAUCAAACACAGAGGAUUCAUUGUGUUAUGUAGUGUUUUUAGGCGUAUUCUUCCACUUUUUAAAGAGCCAGGCUAGCUGUUUCCCCUGUUUCCAGUAUUCAUGCUAAGCUAUUCGAGUCAUCUUCUUGUUUGAGAUAGGGCCCUAGGAUCCUUGGUCUUGGCUAAUUCUCAAAGAGAAACUUAAUAAUUGUUUUGUCAGAAUUUGGAGCUAUUCAUGGAAAUCUGACAGCGGUUAUUGUCUGUAUGAAUAAAAAUAUAUAUCCAUCCAAAUCUCAAGUAAAGCUACAUUUUGGUUGACAUUAGCUACCUAAUGUCAACAUAGCAUUGACGUGAAUUUUGUUCUUACAUGGUUAAGAGUAUUUUGGAUUUAACUGACUUGUGAAGCUUUCCAUACCAACUGUUACAGAACCCAAGUUUUCAGCUUGCUGUUAUGAGCUGCAUUUCUAAUAACUGCACAUCUACCCACAAGACUUCGAACAUGGCAGUAGGCUAACUGCCUUUAAUGCAGAGGAUCAUGAAUUCUGCAAAUUCUUCAAAUGCUUUAUACUCCAGAGCCAAACAAUCUGCUGUUUACAUACCAGGAGUGUGCAGUAGACUAGAAUACACUUGUCAGGUAACUCACCUUUCCUCCAAUCACUCAUUUCACCAGCAUUUCACAAGAAAGCCUCUCUGCACACUCACUUUGAACAUCUAGAGAUUAUGCAUUUUGCAGUUUAGCUUCAUUCAUUCAUGUGACCAGUUUGACAUUUUUUUCAGUUGUAUGGGUUAUCUAGUAAAUAUGCUGUACAUUAUGUGGUAGCAGUUUAAUAAUUGCACCAUCCCUUUACUUUGCUGCACAAACUGGGCUCUUCCUGGAAAACUACCACUGAUUAAAGAUAGAACAGUAUAUUACAGACACCUAUGUUUUUGAUUAGUUUGACAAUCAGAUAUUGGUGUUUCAUGUUGUCAGUCCAGAUGAGGUCCUUAUCAUGGGGUGCUACAUCUUGAAAUCAUGCUAAAUGUCCAUUGAAAAUACCAUUUGACAACCAGUCUGACUAUCUGUUCAACUACCUAUCUUACUUUUGCCUCUAAUCUAAACAGGGUCAAAUUGUAUGAUAUUGUAUGCUAAUACACUGCUGUUGGCAAAUUGUUCUCCAAUAAGCAUGGCUUCCAUUCCUGAGCACUGCACUUGUGGCAGGUUGAUUUAGUUGAAAGGACAAUACUGGGAAGAUAAGCAGAAGUAUCCUUUUGAAAGACUGACUUCAUGGGAACAAAAGACGCAUUAUUAGAAGCCGCUAUAUCUAUUAAUGACAAAUAGUUAAAUUUAUCUAUUUAAGGAGAAAAAAAACAUUUUCAACUGCAUUUGUAAUCUUACAGGCUGUGCCAACAUACUAGGAGUGGCCAUCCUGAGUAAUGAUUAAAAUAGUGACCAUAACCAACUUUCCAUCCAAAUCUAGCCUCUCUCUUACUGUGUUCUUCAAAGAGAAACUCAACAUUUGUGGAAAUAUGCUUGUUUGCUUUCUUUUCCAGUGUGAGAUGAAAAGAUUGAUUCCACUAUUGUAUGUUAUGUACAGAACUGGAGUCAAGGGGCAAGCAGUCUAGCUUAGCAACAGCAAGCUCUGUGAAUUUAUACAACUAAUGCUUCACUACAGAGCUUGUUCCAGGAAUUAAGAGCGAAAGGGAGAUAUGUGUGCAUUGAGAAUAUGUUGGUAUCUGGUUCUGUACUUAACACACAAACAUGCACUGAUGUCAUUUAUCUCUCUUUUAUUUUAAAAAAGUAGAUGAGCACAUUUUAAGAAAUAGUGUAUUAUUUGUUAAAGAUGUGUUAUGCCAUCCAGUGGACUGAUCAGACCAAACCACUGAGUAGGUACCAGAAAACAUCAGCGACUCUUUGGCCUGCCAGACGGUACCCAGUACAAAACAGUAUCGUCUCUAAUCUCCACGGUCACUUUUCACGGCAUUGUUGAAUAAAUGUUAUUUAUUUUAUAUAUUAUGUAUAAAGGAUUUGCCUAUUAUUUGAUGUGAUUUUACUGAUUGGUAAAAAAAAAAAAUAAAUAGAUGUCCAAU